GGGGGAUAUUGCACAAUGGGGGAAACCCUGAUGCAGCGACGCCGCGUGGAGGAAGAAGGUUUUCGGAUUGUAAACUCCUGUCGUUAGGGACGAUAAUGACGGUACCUAACAAGAAAGCACCGGCUAACUACGUGCCAGCAGCCGCGGUAAAACGUAGGGUGCAAGCGUUGUCCGGAAUUACUGGGUGUAAAGGGAGCGCAGGCGGGAAGACAAGUUGGAAGUGAAAACCAUGGGCUCAACCCAUGAAUUGCUUUCAAAACUGUUUUUCUUGAGUAGUGCAGAGGUAGAUGGAAUUCCCGGUGUAGCGGUGGAAUGCGUAGAUAUCGGGAGGAACACCAGUGGCGAAGGCGGUCUACUGGGCACCAACUGACGCUGAGGCUCGAAAGCAUGGGUAGCAAACAGGAUUAGAUACCCUGGUAGUCCAUGCCGUAAACGAUGAUUACUAGGUGUUGGGGGAUUGACCCCCUCAGUGCCGCAGUUAACACAAUAAGUAAUCCACCUGGGGAGUACGACCGCAAGGUUGAAACUCAAAGGAAUUGACGGGGGCCCGCACAAGCAGUGGAGUAUGUGGUUUAAUUCGAAGCAACGCGAAGAACCUUACCAGGUCUUGACAUCCGAUGCAUAACACAGAGAUGUGUGAAAUCCUUCGGGACAUCGAGACAGGUGGUGCAUGGUUGUCGUCAGCUCGUGUCGUGAGAUGUUGGGUUAAGUCCCGCAACGAGCGCAACCCUUAUUGCCAGUUACUACGUUAAGAGGACUCUGGCGAGACUGCCGUUGACAAAACGGAGGAAGGUGGGGAUGACGUCAAAUCAUCAUGCCCUUUAUGACCUGGGCUACACACGUACUACAAUGGCGUUAAACAAAGAGAAGCAAGACCGCGAGGUGGAGCAAAACUCAAAAACAACGUCUCAGUUCAGAUUGCAGGCUGCAACUCGCCUGCAUGAAGUCGGAAUUGCUAGUAAUCGCGGGUCAGCAUACCGCGGUGAAUACGUUCCCG
rnacentral:rRNA from 1 species